AGUGAACGCUGGCGGUAGGCCUAACACAUGCAAGUCGAACGGCAGCACAGUAAGAGCUUGCUCUUACGGGUGGCGAGUGGCGGACGGGUGAGGAAUACAUCGGAAUCUACUUUUUCGUGGGGGAUAACGUAGGGAAACUUACGCUAAUACCGCAUACGACCUACGGGUGAAAGCAGGGGAUCUUCGGACCUUGCGCGAUUGAAUGAGCCGAUGUCGGAUUAGCUAGUUGGCGGGGUAAAGGCCCACCAAGGCGACGAUCCGUAGCUGGUCUGAGAGGAUGAUCAGCCACACUGGAACUGAGACACGGUCCAGAGUCCGACGGGAGGCAGCAGUGGGGAAUAUUGGACAAUGGGCGCAAGCCUGAUCCAGCCAUACCGCGUGGGUGAAGAAGGCCUUCGGGUUGUAAAGCCCUUUUGUUGGGAAAGAAAAGCAGCAGGUUAAUACCCCGCUGUUCUGACGGUACCCAAAGAAUAAGCACCGGCUAACUUCGUG
rnacentral:rRNA from 1 species